CCGAGUGAGGGCCCCCGGGCCCGACCUCCCACCCUGUGCUAUCCGACCACGUUGCCUCGGGGGCGACCCGGCCUUCGGGCCCGGGGCCCCCGGUGGACCAUGUAACUCUGCAUCAUUGCCGUCUGAGUUUUAAUAUGAAUCAAUCA
rnacentral:misc_RNA from 1 species